AAAAUUUUUUUUUCCCUUCUUUUUUUGACAAAUAGUGAAAUGCUUACUUAUGAACAAAAUAGAGAGAACUAAGAAAGAGAUGAACAAAAAUAGAAAGAAGAGAGAGAGACGUUUUUGUUUUUUGAAUGUUAAAAGUAAGUAUUCAUUAAUAGUAUAGUUCCAAAGAGGAAAAACAAGCCGCACCGACUUGAAUCCUCAUCAAAGCACCUUCCAUUAUGCAAGAAACACACAUGCCAGGGGUCGGGGCGAAAUACUCCCCAUGGCAGUGUCUAAAGGGGUCGGUAAAACCAGCAGCCAAAAGUAGGGUAAAAAUGAAAGUCGACGAAAAGAGAUAGCAAGCAGGAGGGUGAGAAGACCAUGACAAGGGUGGCGAUUGGUAGAUAUGGAGAAAAGAGAUGACAUGAAAAGGAGGAGUUAGCUGCACAGAGCCCAAACCCUAGAAGACAAACCCUAGCAGAGCUUUUUCAGGAGGGAGUUAUUGAUGGGUAGAGGAAGAGACCGCUGCUCCUAUUGCUGCUCUGCUCUUGGCGGUGGUGGCUAAGGCGAUGGCUACUGCUAGACGAAAGAGGUGGUGGUGGCGACUGAGUCCAAAUCCUAGCAAACCCAAACCCUUGGUGAAAUCCGAGAGAGAGAGAUAUAUGUUUAUUUUGGAACCCGAGGGAUAAUCUGUAUGCAAUUAGAGAUCCAUCGUUUGGAAAAGCUACUUGGGAAACAUAUUUUGAUCUGAAACUUCAGGAUCCACUUCAGAAUCUCCAUAUGAUUAGUUUAGAAAGCGGAUUUUGAGUUUCUCUAAUACUUAGAUUUGGCUAUCAGAAAAAUAAAUCAUUUUUAAUUUUUUUAGUUUUGUCUUUUUUGAAGUUAAGAGAAUAUAUCCCAAAAUUUCAGGUACUAAAAAUAUUCCUAUAAUGAGAUUUACCAUUAGAGUAAAUAGACGCUAUGCUCCCCCAUGUCAAAUAUUUUGAUUUUGAUACUCAC
rnacentral:lncRNA from 1 species